UACGUAGGGUCCGAGCGUUGUCCGGAAUUAUUGGGCGUAAAGGGCUCGUAGGCGGUUUGUCACGUCGGGAGUGAAAACUCAGGGCUCAACCCUGAGCGUGCUUCCGAUACGGGCAGACUAGAGGUAUGCAGGGGAGAACGGAAUUCCUGGUGUAGCGGUGGAAUGCGCAGAUAUCAGGAGGAACACCGGUGGCGAAGGCGGUUCUCUGGGCAUUACCUGACGCUGAGGAGCGAAAGCAUGGGGAGCGAACAGGAUUAGAAACCCCCGUAGUCC
rnacentral:rRNA from 1 species